UUGAAUUUGCAAAUGAAGGUUGGAUGCUUUAUCCCACUGUGAAUUUGGACAUUCUCCCCCACUCCACCCCUCCAGGGUGCUUUGUGGCUUAAUAAUGUGGGGGAGUUGAGGCAGAAGGUUGGCCACCCCUGUGCUAGGUGCUUUCAGUGGAAGCCAGAGAGCUGGGUCAGGAUUUCUGGACUUUCUGGGUUGUCUAUGGAAUUUCAUGUGAUUAAAAAAUAUAUAUUUUGCUCCCAGUGGCCCCACCUCCAAAGAAAUGGGUCUAAGAAGGAAGUAAAAAUGGGUUAUUUUAUGUUUAGAUAUUUGCUUAAAUAUUUAUUUGUUGGGAAAUGUGGUACAGAAAUAACUGACACCUUCAUGCCAAAAAUCUUAAAAAGGUGAAAGGGGCUGAACUUCAGGGAGCAGAAUCAGAGAUAUGUGCACUUACUUCUGAACUCCACCCCUCCCCACUCUCUGGAAAUGUAUAUAGGGGGGCCUUAACCCUUCCAGAAGGAAGCAAAGGAUUCACUCAAAGUUGCAUUCUUGAAAAUAUAUUUCCACAUGUGUUUUUUUCAGCACUGUGCUUACAACCAGUUCUGGGUGAUUAAAGGAAAGGGAAAAAAACCAACAAAUGGUCCAACAUUUUCCUUCUGGGGAAAGAAAACAAAACCUCUAUGCACUGGGUCAUUAGAUAAUGACUGAAUUUUCUGUUCCAACUGGAUUCCAAAUGCCCUAAAUACCCUCAUAUAGCAGUGUUUUACAGGAAUUAGUGUAUGGCCUGUGUAGGGGAGGGGCUGUGCAGUGGGGAGAAAGUGGGAAGGUGAGGAACUCUUGCUUUAAGAAGGAAAAAAAAAAAACCCUAAUUGAAUCUAGAAGUCCACAAAAGUUAGCCUUAGAGUUUUUUUCCCCCUGAAGUUUUAAUUUUUUUAAAAACCAAAUCUAAGGAAGUUUUCCUCAGCUCAUUAAUUAGAAGCAGAAUUUGUAAAAGUAUAAAAGUUUUCAAGCACUCGUCUUUGCCUUGAGAAUAGUGGUUUUUUAAAGAAUCACUCUCAACAGGGGAGAUGUCCUCUAGUCGUUUUUCUUCUGCCUCUCCUGGGAAGGGUUCAAAGUUCAUUUUUCUAAAAUGCUGACCCUCAAGCAUAAGGAGGAAGAAGUCAAAGUUAAUGGCCAGAGUUCAUAUACUCAGAUGAAACCAGUCUUCCCAAGGCCUCAGGCUCCAAAAAAGGUUGUAGCUAUCAAAAAGUGACCAAAGUGGGAAAGGGAGAAAGGAUAAGCUUAAAAUUUAAUUUUAAGAUCCAGAAGGGGGGUAUUUUUUUCAGUACUUCAAAAACACUUUAGAAGGUUUCUGUUGUAAUUUAAAAAAUAUAUUUAAGUGGGAGGGAAAAAAGAGUUUCUCUGUAGGCUUGUUCUUUGGCUGUGUCUCCUGAGAGCUGAGGGCAGGUAUUCACUGCAGUCCCUAGGCUGAAAUUCCGCUUCUCUGAAGUGUCUUCCAAGCCUUGGUCUUUUGUAUUAGACCCUGGGGACUGCUCUUUGUUUCUCCUUGGGGUGAGCCUGGCUCUCAGACUUGCACAUGGCAAUACUUGAAUGUCACCACGUCGGGAUAUUAAAGAUGGAUAUUCGUGCAUUAUUCACAUCAUUGUUUCUAUGACAAAAAGCACAGAGUUCAUACAUAGUCAAGACGUCUUUUUUCUGACGCCCUCACGUUGAGAAGCUGAAAAGGUAUUUUACCGAAGUUCGGGUAAAUUACAGAAUCAGGUUCAUCCAGAGGACAAAUUUUCUAUUUGAUUAGCUGUAUUUCAGCCGGGAGGACUGACCUCUAAACCCCUAACCUUUUGGACUCUAACUACCCUUCUCUUCUUUUUUCCUCUCUAACAUGGAGAGCAGUCUUUGGAUGUACCAUUUGAAAGGAGCCGCUAUCCUUAGGCAAGUUGGAAAGUUGCUAAGCUGCUUUCCUAAAACCCAAAUCUGUCUAUACAUUGAACCUUCUCUUUGAGAAGGGGAAAAAGGUAUAUAUUUUCACAACAUCCAAUUACAUAUAUAUAAUAGAGAUUUGUUGUAUAGAUUUUCCCCCACCUCAGAAGUUCAGGUUACUCACCCCCAGUUUCAUACCAAAUGCCACACAGGCUUAACUGACUGCAUCCCUGCCCCAGAGGAAAGCCAAGAAACAUGUUUUCAUGAGGAAAACCCAAGCUCCUUCUCAAACAUAGCCCCACUACUUUGGAAAGUAACUUAAUCAGAGAAACAACUUCUUUGUUUAUAAGUCUCAGCUCUCCUUCUCAGCUUGGAGGGAUUCUUUUGAAAUGUUAAUGGAGCCUGGAUGGCCCAGAGUGCAGCCCCCAACCCUGAGGUCCCAGUCGGACCCCAGCAUCCAUUUGGGCCCACAGGAGUGGGCCAGGGAAGGGGUAGGGCCCCGUAACCACUUAGGGCAGGGAAGGAAAUGGGUUUCCAUCUGAGAACGUGCUUUGGAGAAAGCUAGGUGUGGAAAAGCUCCAAUGCCCAUUUGCUAUUAUUUGUUUCCAGUUUGUUCCUUUAAAUAUGAGCCAGAAGUGUUUGUGUUGGUGUUUUAAAAACAAAAACAAAAACCGUGUUGGGGUCCUGACUGGGGGAGGGGGAGAGUGAAGUGUUUGCUGAGGACAUUGCUCCUCUGACUCCCAUCUCACUUUGUCCAUCGCAGCCUUUUGUUGGGAGAUGACACUGUCAGUCAGCCCAUGAUGUCUGUUCACACGAGAUGCUUUUUUAAUAGAAUUGACCAAUGUUUUGCUGCCACUGAUUAAAGUAUUAUUUAUACUAAUUGUUGCUUGUAGUUUUGAUGUAAUUCAUUGAUCUAUAUUUAAAAUAAUAAAAG
rnacentral:lncRNA from 1 species